GUGAUGCCCAAUAAUAUUGGGCUUUGUGGCCUUGCAACAAGGCACCUGAGCACAUCUCCAUGUCCUCAUGCUGCUGCUGCAAAAAUAAGCUGCCCCAGAACUGGUAUGCCCUCAAUAAAUAUAAACCACAUUAAGUCAGCAUCUGUCAACUCGUCUAGAGGGGCCCUGCGAACUUAUUCAUCCAGGGCAACCGUCGAAGGCGAACUAUCACAGGCAGCACAAAUGGCAGCGUCAGGAGCUAGCUAUCGGAACUUUUUGAAGGGUGUUAGGCUCUCUGCCUGUGCUUUGAGCUUGGUAUGGGCCAUCACUAUUUACUCUG